rnacentral:lncRNA from 1 species
UUUGGGUGCUGGGCUCUCCCAGUUGGAUUUUGGGCUCUCCCAGUUUGGAUUUGCGCUCUCCCAGUUUGGAUGCUGUGCUCUCCCAGUUUGGAUGCUGUGCUCUCCCAGUUUGGAUGCUGUGCUCUCCCAGUUUGGAUAAUGGGCUCUCCCAGUUGGAUUUGCGCUCUCCCAG